rnacentral:lncRNA from 1 species
UGAUGGAACCAAAAUGAACAGAAGCGCGCGGUGGCCGUGCGAGUGCCUGUGACGCGAGAAGAGCAACCCCGAGCGACGAGAUCGAGCCCUUGCUGUUCGAGAAGGCUGCAGAGCUGGGGAGAGGGCUAACGGAAAAGAUUCGAUUCGGCUGAAGCUAGGGGAGCAUGCUCGACACGGAGGAGGACGUUCGAUCCCGGACGGGGGGGGGGGGAACGCUCGCGGAGAAGAGAGGAGCGGGCAUUGGCGGCCUUGGUUGGUUCGGCCAAGGUUUGGCUGAAGAAAAAACAGAAGAGAGAGGAGGAUCGAAGGUGUUUUGGGGGGCCAUGGUCCGCUGAAGGAAAGAAAGAGGUUUUUGGCUGAGGGGCUCGCCGGUCGAAGACAAAAAGGGAGCGAACUCGAACCAAAAGGAGAGAGGAGCGAAAAGCAAGCAAUCUCCACUGAUUCUCUCUCAUCUUUUUCAUUGACCGAACUCCACUAUCUCCAAAAGACUCUCUUUAUCUCUCGUCCUCCAAGCUAGGCCGAGAACUUCAAUUCGGCAGAGAACACGGAUAGGCUCUCAAUUUUUGGAUUCUCCAGCCGCCUCUCAUUCUCUCUCCAUCAUUCUCUUCCCACCGAUUCUCUCCAUCUCGGAUAUUCCCGCCGAUUCUCUCUGGAGGAAUCUCACGAGCUCAUCUUUUCAUGUAUUUGGAGCGAACAUCGAGCAGAGGACGAAGAGGAUUCCCACUAAUCCUUCGACGUCUGCUCUAAACGUAAAGACUCACGGAAGCGAACCACGAUGCCAGCCGAUCUUCGUCCCGGUGUGCAACCCGAUCUCCACGACGGUAGUUGAUCCGGCGAGCUCGGCGGUUUGUUCCGGUGUCCGGCGACCCCCUCCGCAUUCGCUGACAAUGACGACCGGCCUGCUCCUUCGGUGUACGCGCUCUUCAUGCUCGACUAGUGGCUCCCUCGAUUCACUUCUCCGCUUUGGAAGCACUGUCCGAUGAAAUGUCCUACUGGUUCCCGUGCGAAGCUCGUCUGAAGCGUUCAUCGUCUAAGCCGGUCAUCGUCUGAAGCUUCCUUCACUAUCUCGACGAAAUUUUGGAUUUACACUGGAAUCGUCUAAGCCGGUCUUGUGUGCAUGUUUAGUUUUGUUGAUUGUCGGACAUAAUUGACUUGUGUUUGAAGCUGAGACAUUGGUGAAAUAGGUCUGCCACACGUGUUGUGCUCUUCCCGUGUUGAAGUAUAUCUGCUAGUUCAAUAGUUACAAUCCAUUCAUCCGUCGAUUGCACAUCACGUAUACGAUGAAAUGCCUCGCAGAGUAGAAAUCUGAAAUUGUUAUUCGCAGACAUGUUGAUAUAGAAGAACUGGUA